UACGUAGGGGGCUAGCGUUGUCCGGAAUCAUUGGGCGUAAAGAGCGUGUAGGCGGCCCGGUAAGUCCGCUGUGAAAGUCGGGGGCUCAACCCUCGAAUGCCGGUGGAUACUGUCGGGCUAGAGUGCGGAAGAGGCGAGUGGAAUUCCUGGUGUAGCGGUGAAAUGCGCAGAUAUCAGGAGGAACACCAAUGGCGAAGGCAGCUCGCUGGGACGGUACUGACGCUGAGACGCGAAAGCGUGGGGAGCAAACAGG
rnacentral:rRNA from 1 species